ensembl:lncRNA novel transcript
GAGCUGGUGCUCUCAGCCCCCUCAUCAUGGGAUGCCUUGCACCACCCUGGGGCCCUGCAGAGUCCCUGCCAGCAAGAGGGCCCUCACCAGAUGCACCCCCUAGACUUGGACUUCCCAGCCUCCAGAAAUGACUUCAUGUGCAAGCGCUUUGCCUUAAUGAGUACUGCAGCAAAUGCACAGUGAGGGACUCUUACCCAAGGUGGGAACAGCAAGCAGUGGAUUGAAAGGGCUGGGACCCUGGACCCAGGCUUGUUCUUGGAUCACAGAAACCUAGAAUGAAAUCUGUGCUGCCUGCUACAACCUGUGGCUUUGGAUUUUCUCGAGGCCCCAGAGCGUCAGAGGAAGUUUUCCGAAUGGCACUCUGCGUGGGAAGGAGCUUGUGCACGUGCACGCUGCCACCAUCUGCCCUCAGCGCUGAUUCAGGAGGCGCUUCUCAACUAUAGCCCACAGUGUGACAACUGAACGUGUCCCCUCACGUUUCCAAAUACGGGGGGUGCAGGAGGCACUGCUCACUGUUGCACCCCCUGACCCACGCUGCCAGUCCUGCCCUCACUGCUGGGUGCUCACUGGGACCCUGGAAAGGUCUAGCUGAGCCUUUUAGGGCAUGAGGAUGUUGGGAGA